GUUCUCACAGCGUCGGGCUUUGGGGAGUCCAGAACCUGCCUUCGAGCGGCAUUCGAAACCAGGACCUGCGGCUUCCGAAACACAGACCAGCCCCAGGUAAGCCAUUCCUCUCCUAUUGUCAUCUGUUGGGAAGGCUUUCAUGGUAUCUUCCUACCUGGCAGAAGGAGGGUGGACAGGAUGGUCUCGGGGAUCUCUUCCAACUCUAGGAUCCUAUGGUUCCACAGAUAGCCCUAUUUCUCUUCUAACGGCUAUAAGUCUGGAAGGCCAUCUGUUGGGAGGGCUUUGAUGGUGUCCUCCUGUUUGUCAGGUCUCUUUUAAUGCUAAGAGUCAAUCCAUCUAUCUAGAGGGUGAUGGACUGGAUGGCCCUUGGAGGACUCUUCCAACUCUUAGUCUGUCUAUCUGUCUAUCAAUCCAUCUAUCUAUCUAGAGGAGGUUGGACUGGAUGGUCCGUGGAGGUCUCUUCUAAGAGUCAAUCCAUCCAUCUAUCUAGAGGAGGUUGGACUGGAUGGUCCGUGGAGGUCUCUUCUAAGAGUCAAUCCAUCUAUCUAUCUAGAGGAGGUUGGACUGGAUGGUCCGUGGAGGUCUCUUCUAACUCUGAGCGUCGAUCCAUCUAUCUAUCUAGAGGGGUUGGACUGGAUGGUCCGUGGAGGUCUCUUCUAAGAGUCAAUCCAUCUAUCUAUCUAGAGGAGGUUGGACUGGAUAGUCCGUGGAGGUCUCUUCUAAGAGUCAAUCCAUCUAUCUAUCUAGAGGAGG
rnacentral:lncRNA from 11 species